rnacentral:rRNA from 1 species
CCUACGGGAGGCAGCAGUGAGGAAUAUUGGUCAAUGGCCGGAAGGCUGAACCAGCCAUGCCGCGUGAAGGUCAGUGCCCUAUGGGCGUUAAACUUCUUUUGUGCGGGAGCAAUAAUGGUCACGUGUGGCCAGACGAGAGUACCGUACGAAUAAGCAUCGGCUAACUCCGUGCCAGCAGCCGAGGUAAUACGGGGGAUGCAAGCGUUAUCCGGAUUUAUUGGGUUUAAAGGGUGCGUAGGCUGUGAGGUAAGUCAGCGGUGAAAUGCCCCCGCUCAACGGGGUGAAGUGCCAUUGAUACUGCCUGGCUGGAAUGCGGAUGCCGUGGGAGGAAUGUGUGGUGUAGCGGUGAAAUGCAUAGAUAUCACACAGAACACCGAUUGCGAAGGCAUCUCACGAAUCCGAGAUUGACGCUGAUGCACGAAAGCGUGGGUAUCAAACAGGAUUAGAUACCCUUGUAGUC